CUCAGAUUGAACGCUGGCGGCAGGCCUAACACAUGCAAGUCGAGCGGCAGCGGGAAGUAGUUUACUACUUUGCCGGCGAGCGGCGGACGGGUGAGUAAUGUCUGGGAAACUGCCUGAUGGAGGGGGAUAACUACUGGAAACGGUAGCUAAUACCGCAUAACGUCUUCGGACCAAAGUGGGGGACCUUCGGGCCUCACGCCAUCGGAUGUGCCCAGAUGGGAUUAGCUAGUAGGUGGGGUAAUGGCUCACCUAGGCGACGAUCCCUAGCUGGUCUGAGAGGAUGACCAGCCACACUGGAACUGAGACACGGUCCAGACUCCUACGGGAGGCAGCAGUGGGGAAUAUUGCACAAUGGGCGCA
rnacentral:rRNA from 1 species